AGAGUUUGAUCCUGGCUCAGAUUGAACGCUGGCGGCAGGCCUAACACAUGCAAGUCGAGCGGUAACAGAUCCAGCUUGCUGGAUGCUGACGAGCGGCGGACGGGUGAGUAACGCAUAGGAAUUUACCCGAUAGUGGGGGAUAACCUGGGGAAACUCAGGCUAAUACCGCAUACGUCCUACGGGAGAAAGGGGGCCUUGGCUCCCGCUAUCGGAUGAGCCUAUGCCGGAUUAGCUGGUUGGUGAGGUAAUGGCUCACCAAGGCGACGAUCCGUAGCUGGUCUGAGAGGAUGAUCAGCCACAUCGGGACUGAGACACGGCCCGAACUCCUACGGGAGGCAGCAGUGGGGAAUAUUGGACAAUGGGGGCAACCCUGAUCCAGCCAUGCCGCGUGUGUGAAGAAGGCCCUCGGGUUGUAGAGCACUUUCAGCGAGGAAGAACGCCUGGCGGUUAAUACCCGCCAGGAAAGACAUCACUCGCAGAAGAAGCACCGGCUAACUCCGUGCCAGCAGCCGCGGUAAUACGGAGGGUGCAAGCGUUAAUCGGAAUUACUGGGCGUAAAGCGCGCGUAGGUGGCUUGAUAAGCCGGUUGUGAAAGCCCCGGGCUCAACCUGGGAACGGCAUCCGGAACUGUCAGGCUAGAGUGCAGGAGAGGAAGGUAGAAUUCCCGGUGUAGCGGUGAAAUGCGUAGAGAUCGGGAGGAAUACCAGUGGCGAAG
rnacentral:rRNA from 1 species